UCAAGCGAUCUGCCCUCGGCCUCCCAAAGUGCUGGGAUUAUAGGUGUGAGUCACUGGACCCGGUCAAAUAAAUCCAAACGGACAGCUCUUCCUUACUCCUCCCACAGCCCAGAGACUAGGUGAGGUCAGGGAAGUGCUUCGGAUUGUCUCAUUGAUAUUCAAGAUAGAUGGUGAAAGAGACAGGCACUAUUUCAUUAGUUUUAACAAAACUGUUCCAAAAGCGAUUUGAGAUGCCAAUACCUGUGAAUACCUGUUAAUAAAGAGCUGUUAAAUAGACUUAUUUACAUUUUAAGUCAGAGUUCACACUGUGUACAAGACACAGCUUUUUAUUUACUUUGUUUUUGGUUCAAACUGUCUCAUGCCAGUGAGGCCCACAAGCAGUGCUUCUAGAUUUUAUCUCAUUUUGCUUUAUAAGCGGCCACAGAGCGCUGGCUCUCAACUAUGUGUUGAUGAAAUCCUGGAGUUCUUUGAAGACAGACCAAAUCCCGAAGGGAAAUAAAUGUAUCCCUACUGAAUGGGCCCUGAGUUUUCCACGGGAUUUAGUGAAGGGGCACCUGGCUGACCGUGUGUCCCUCACAGUCUUAUUCUAAGGAGAAACGCUCUGUCGUCAGGACACAUGGCCAUCUGCCAAGCCAGUACCACGCAGCUAGCACUCAAUGACACACACUGGGUGCAAAAAAAAGCUUCCCAAGAAGACUAGGGGGCCUGUCUCAAAGAGCAUGUGUGUCCUGUCAAGCUGCAGUAUAGUCAGUCAUCAAAUUAGGGUGUCUUAAUCAUAAGGUGGAAGUUUAUUCAAUUCAAAUAAUACUAGCUAAACUUUUAUUUAAGGGCUUCCCUGUCUGUCUCCCAGGCACUAUUCAGACACCCUUAGCGUGUCAGCUUCUUCACUACCCCAAGCAAUCCUACAAGGGAGGCCCUCAUGAUUACCCCCAUUUUACAGAUGUGAAGCCUCAGGGCUAGAUUUAGUAACUUGCCCAAGGUCACAUGAACAGGAAGUGGAGCAGCUGGGAUUUGAACCCAGCAUUCUGGCUCCAUGCUGUCAAGACGGUGUUUACUGUAUAGCAGUAAAUUGGAUUGCCAAUUAACCACAAAAAUAACCGGGGAUUUUUUAGGGGGAGAGGGUUUACUUUGAAGAUAGCUUUUGUUGUGUAUGUAUGUGGCUUUUUUUUGAGACGGAGUCUUGCUCUGUCGCCCAGGCGCCCGCCACCACACCCGACUAACUUUUGUAGUUUUAGUAGAGAUGGGGUUUCACCGUGUUAGCCAGGAUGGUCUCGAUCUCCUGACCUUGUGAUCCGCCUGCCUCAGCCUCGCAAAAUGCUGGGAUUACAGGCAUGAGCCACUGCGCCCGGCCAUAUGUGGCUAUUUUAUAUCAAUGAAUUAUUUUUUUUGGAUAGAUGAUAGUGUUUAAUACUAAAGCUAGACUUAGAAUUAACAGGUCUUAAUCCUGUUUGCUGCCUUGCACAGCUGAGGGAUAUAGCAUCCCACCAGCAGCCGGGGCUCCUUACCCACUCCUUUCCUGCAGGUAUGUGGGCAGGUGUGGUUUUGGUUUUGGCUCCGUCCUCGAGAAUUGCCACUUUGGGUGCUAUAGAAACAUUAAGGAAUGAAACUGCCUAAAACUUCCAAGUGGGAGGUAAAGAAGUACUUUAGAUUUACCGUAAAACAUGCAAUUUUAUGUCAUUUUUU
rnacentral:lncRNA from 10 species